rnacentral:rRNA from 1 species
GCUCGUAGUUGGAUCUCAGUUCACGUUUGGCGGUCUAUCACAAUGCGUGUUUACUGUCGAACUGAACACUCUACCGUUUACUGUCUGGUGGUGCUCUUCACCGAGUGUCACCAGUGGUCGGUACGUUUACUUUGAAAAAAUUAGAGUGCUCAAAGCGGUUUUUACACGACCGAAUACUGUUGCAUGGAAUAAUGAAAUAGGACUUUGGUUCUAUUUUGUUGGUCUUCGGAACCAAGGUAAUGAUUAAGAGGGACAGACGGGGGCAUUAGUAUUGCGACGCUAGAGGUGAAAUUCUUGGACCGUCGCAAGACUAACUAAAGCGAAAGCAUUUGCCAAGAAUGUUUUCAUUAAUCAAGAACGAAAGUUAGAGGUUCGAAGGCGAUCAGAUACCGCCCUAGUUCUAACCAUAAACGAUGCCAACCAGCAAUCAGCCUGUGUUCUCUUGAUGACACGGCUGGCGGCUUCCGGGAAACCAAAGUCUUUCGGUUCCAGGGGAAGUAUGGUUGCAAAGCUGAAACUUAAAGGAAUUGACGGAAGGGCACCACCAGGAGUGGAGCCUGCGGCUUAAUUUGACUCAACACGGGGAAACNNACCCGGC